rnacentral:rRNA from 1 species
GAUGAACGCUGGCGGCGUGCCUAAUACAUGCAAGUCGAGCGAACGGACGAGAAGCUUGCUUCUCUGAUGUUAGCGGCGGACGGGUGAGUAACACGUGGAUAACCUACCUCUAAGACUGGGAUAACUUCGGGAAACCGGAGCUAAUACCGGAUAAUAUUUUUAACCGCAUUGUUCAAAAGUGAAAGACGGUCUUGCUGUCACUUAUAGAUGGAUCCGCGCUGCAUUAGCUAGUUGGUAAGGUAACGGCUUACCAAGUCAACGAUGCAUAGCCGACCUGAGAGGGUGAUCGGCCACACUGGAACUGAGACACGGUCCAGACUCCUACGGGAGGCAGCAGUAGGGAAUCUUCCGCAAUGGGCGAAAGCCUGACGGAGCAACGCCGCGUGAGUGAUGAAGGUCUUCGGAUCGUAAAACUCUGUUAUUAGGGAAGAACAUAUGUGUAAGUAACUGUGCACAUCUUGACGGUACCUAAUCAGAAAGCCACGGCUAACUACGUG